rnacentral:snRNA from 1 species
CCCUCUCCCGAGGGAUUAA